CAGUUUUAGAACAUGGACAUUAUCAAAAACUGUCUGCUCAGCUUGUUCGCAUUUGUGUUCUGGAUACAAGGUCUAACUGAUGGAAGGGAUGUCAACCAGACCUCCAUACUGUGGGAUAAAACUGGCAACAAUGCAACAAUCAACUGCAGCCACACCAAGGGUGUUGGCUACAACCAGAUGUACUGGUACAGACAGCUACCAGGAGAAGCAAUGAAGCUAAUAGUCUACACAACACUCGGCAUAGAAAAUCACGACUUUGGAGAUUUCAGCAAAGAGAAAUUCUCAGCCACCAAGCCUGACACUGACAGUGGGACAUUCACAGUGAAGAAUCUGGUGCCUGAAGAUAAAGGCUUGUAUUUCUGUGCUGUGAGUGAGCACAGUGAUACAGACACAUGUGAAAGCUAAACAAAAACUUCAGCGUACUGUUGGCACAAC